CGUGUGUUGGCUUUAAAACUAGAACCUUUCUUACUGCCUCCAACGACGAAAAAUUUUGCAAUCACUCAAAUACAGAAAUAUAUCAAUGAAAAUAAGGACAGAACUAAGAAGAGUGCAGCCCAUUAUUGUGGCUACGGCAUAGCUGCAUAAUAUAUUAUGUAAACAAAAUAGAGACCCUGUGCUGUACCACCAGCUAGGUUUUUUUAUGAUGAUUCAUCAUCUGAUGAAGAGGAACCUGUCUAUGCAGUUAACAGGAAUGAUGAGCAUUAUCGAAGGAUGUCAAUAAAUAAUUAUUUUAAUAGAUUACAUCGUUAGUUUUUAUUUCAACUUGUUAAGAAUUAAUUAAUAAGAUAAUUAA